AAUCCGAUUGAGGAACUAUUCUGUUCACAAUUACUGUGAUGAGCGGCUGAUAUACCGUUGCUUUCUCAUAACCACCACGAAUGUUUCGGAGUCAAAUAUGACGGGUGGUUGAUAGGUUGUAAAAACAGCAGUGAUGAAGCUGCACAUUACAUUUGUGUGGUUAUUCCUGACAAUAAGGUUAGUUAAAUUAACAGAGGUGCCAUUAACGUCAACAUGGUACCCGGCGUUUGACGUUCUCUUGAGAGAUCCGAAUGAUAUUGAAAAGGAUCUCGAACGUUGGAAAAUUAUCCCUGACCUCUUGGAUGAGGCUCCAAAGGAGGCGGUUCAGGUGGAGUGGAUUGAGGGCCUUGAACCGCUCUUCGGAAAUGAAAUUAAUUCGACUAUUACAAAAAGAGAGCCCUUUUGGGCGUGUUGGAAUUCAAAUGAAACGGAGUUCUACACGAUGAUAUUUACAGGUAUCGAUGAAAAAUUGAAGGCACAAACAUCGUACGGAGAAAAACAAUUUUGGAUCGUUGGAAACAUAAGAGAUUAUGAAUUUCUUGGGGGAGAGUUUUUGACUGAAUACAUGGGCCCAGAUCCACCGGAGGGCAAAGGUUUACUUCGAUACGUAUUUUUAGUGUAUAGACAACCUGAUAAAAUACAAUUCAAGGAGAAAAAAAUAUCAGCUAAGGAAGACGGUUCUCUUCGGACGAAUUUUUCCAGCAAAGCCUUCGCAGAUAAGUACAACUUAGGAAAACCAUUGUUUGUAAACUUCUUCCGAACAAGACACGCAUUUAAUAGCUAGAAGAUGACAUGAGUUGAGGCCCUGUUGAUAAAUCAUCGGAAGCCAUACGCAAAUUUGUAUACAUUUAUAUUUCUGGAAUGUUUUUGGAAUGGGGACUACCGCGGAUGAGCGUAGUGUUCUUUGUCGUAGUUUUAUUAAUCAUGUGCGCUAUUUGUCGGGCCCUCGAUGAUCACGCAGACGUCACUGCCGCUUCUACGAUACACGAAGCAACAACACGAAUCAGCGACAUAUACAAGCCGCGAGGGGAGCUUACUGCUGACCUCCUUCGUCAUGAAAUUAUACCUGACUGUGUUUACGAUGUCCCUACUAUUGUUUGCACGGUAGAGUGGGUAAAUGGAAAA